GAUCAUGUAUAAAAAUAUUAAAUGAAUUUCAAGAUAAUAAGUUAUACAAACUUAAUUUAAAUUGAACUAAAAUAAAGGAGAUAAUUCACAAAUAAAAUAAGUCAUUGAGGUUAAAUUUAAGACCCGCACGCCACGCAUGCAAAUGCACAGGGACUAGAAAUGGAAAUAAUCCAGGUCCCAAAACACUGCGUUGUGGUGCGGAUCAAUUUACAUAUAUGCACAAAUAAUAGAACCGAAUUUGAAAACUAAAUAAAGUAAAUGGAGUGCAAUUAAAUGCCCAUGCGAAGAAGAAGGACCUACCGUGGAAUUAUGCCUCCCCGCUAAAAACACGCUUGAAGAAGAAGAAUAAGACGUCACUUCCUUUUGCCAAUUAAAAAAAAGAAAAAAAAACACUUAAAACAAAUCUAAGCAGCGCAGCAAACAAAUGGGGGAAAAGAAAGGGAAAACCCUAGAUGUUUGCCCCUUUUCAAUCUGCCGUUCACUAACCACCAAUCCACCAUUGAAAUCGGUAGAUGGUAGCUCACAAUGAAAUCAUUCUAUUUCCCUAUUCUAAACCUUGCCUUAAUAGGUCAGAUUUUAGCCUUGAAAACCUAUUUCAAGCUUCGAUUUCAACGAAGAAGAUACGGCUUCCGAUGGCUUCUUUGAAGGUACCAACUGGGUGAUGGCGCACGUGGCAACGGCGAAGGAGGCGCACGUGGGGCUGGCGCGGAGGUAGCGGCGGUGCUGGAGGCUGUUGAAAGUUGGUGCGGCGCAAAGGAUGAUGCUAGGGUCUUCUAGAAAUUUUAGAUUUUGGGCCAAUUUGUGUUAGGGUUUGUUUGGGCUUUGGUUUAGUUGUUGAGUUGUUAUAAAAUGGACUAUGAACACUUAUUAUUGAAUUUUUAUUUUGUUA